AAUAUCACGUUGGAACACGAGUUCCCGUAUGAUUACCGAUGUUAAGCAACGUCGAGUCUGGUCAGUACCAAGAUGGGUUACCGCUUGGCAAUACCAGUCGCUGUAA